rnacentral:lncRNA from 1 species
CGGUUCCAUUCUUUCUCCUUUCCCGUUCUUUUCUCUUUUCUUUUCUUUUCUUUUCUUUUCUUUUUCUUUUUGUUAGCAUUUUUUUCAUAUUUUUUUUUAACGGGGGAGUGGAACCGGUUCUCGUCUCACAAACUGCAUCAACAAAACUCAAUCAUGAUCGCUCACAGCAGAUGCUCAUAAAAUGACAAUAUAACCACAAGAACUCAAUGUCAAUCACCCCAAACAACUACAAUUACAAUCCUAGCUAUAGGAAAGCUAUGUCGGUUUGUAUACUCCGUAGUUUUUGCACAUGAAUGCAC